GGUGCAUGCAUUAUAUGCAAAAAUCCUAAGUCUAGGCAAUGCGCAUCCAAUGUAUCAUUCCAAGGCUCUGUGCAUCACAUGCACUUGAUUUAUAAUUUCAUAGAAAAUUAGAUCAUAGGAUCUAACUUAAACUUGUCUCACAAGUUUAAAGACUGUGGAAUCUCAUAUCCAAGUUUGAUCAUGGACUGAUAACAUUUAUCUUUUGAAGAAAACAUAAGCAGCUAUACAUGUAAUUUUAAAAUUUUAUGUAGUGAAACUAUUAUAUUAAAUAAUUUAAUCUAAUUUAUAUACAUAAGAACUAAUCAUGACUACCAUGCCAAGAUCUAU
rnacentral:lncRNA from 1 species